AUUGAACGCUGGCGGCAGGCCUAACACAUGCAAGUCGAGCGGAGCGGCGGACGGGUGCGUAAUGCCUAGGAAUCUGCCUGGUAGUUGGGGAUAACGUCCGGAAACGGGCGCUAAUACCGCAUACUAUCAGAUGAGCCUAGGUCGGAUUAGCUAGUUGGUGGGGUAAAGGCCUACUAAGGCGACGAUCCGUAACUGGUCUGAGAGGAUGAUCAGUCCCACUGGAACUGAGACACGGUCCAGACUCCUCCGGGAGGCAGCAGUGGGGAAUAUUGGACAAUGGGGGAAAGCCUGAUCCAGCCAGGCCGGGUGUGUGAAGAAGGCCUUCGGGUUGUAAAGCACUUUCAGCGGGGAGGCGUUACCCGCAGAAGAAGCACCGGCUAACUCCGUGCCAGCAGCCGCGGUAAUAC
rnacentral:rRNA from 1 species